AGGGAAAUAAUUUAAUUGGUAAAAUACUGGCCUUCAAAUCCAGUUUCAAAGGUUCAAAUCCUUUUUUCCCUG